CUGAGUUACACUCAAACCCUGUUUAAGAAUCUGUUGCUUCGGAGGCGCCCCUCGGGAGGGGAUGUGCUUCGGCCGCCUCCAAAAGCACUUUAACUCUUUAACUAUGAUUUAUCUGUUUUCAAAAAAAAAAAAAAUCA
rnacentral:misc_RNA from 1 species